AAGUCGUAACAAGGUUUCCGUAGGUGAACCUGCGGAAGGAUCAUUAAUGAGUUAGGGUCCCCGGGCCCGACCUCCAACCCUCUGUCGUCACAAAACCACUUUGUUGCUUUGGCGGACCGCCCGUCCGCGGGCUGCCGGUCUCCGGCCCGGCACGCGUCCGCCAGAGGCCAACCAAACUCUUGUUUAUUCAAACCGUACGUCUGAGUAUAAACGAUUUAAUCAAUCAAAA
rnacentral:misc_RNA from 1 species